AGCUUUGUGCAGUGACAGUAUCGUAGCCAAUGAGGUUUAUCCGAGGCGCAAUUAUUGCUCAUUGAAAACUCUCCCCAAUCCCUGCCAUGAUGACUUGAAAUAUAGUCGGCGUUGGCAAUUUUUGGCAGUCUCUACGGAGA